GGGGCUAUAGCUCAGUUGGUAGAGCGUACGGAUCGCACCCGUAAGGCCAGGGGUUCGAAUCCCCUUAGCUCCA
rnacentral:tRNA from 11 species